CCCAAAGUAUAAUAACCAUAUAACAAUUACAGCACGGAAACAGGCCAUCUCGGCCCUACAAGUCCGUGCCGAACAACUUUUUUCCCUUAGUCCCACCUGCCUGCACUCAUACCAUAACCCUCCAUUCCCUUCUCAUCCAUAUGCCUAUCCAAUUUAUUUUUAAAUGAUACCAAUGAACCUGCCGACACCACUUCCACUGGAAGCUCAUUCCACACCGCUAUCACUCUGAGUAAAGAAGUCCCCACUCAUGUUACCCCUAAACUUCUGUCCCUUAAUUCUGAAGUCAUGUCCUCUUGUUUGAAUCUUCCCUAAGUAGGGAGCUUUUGCAUUUUUCAGCUUGAAAUUGUGCAAUCUGGUGCAUACUGUAGCGAGUCUUUUAACUUACACUUGAAUGCAACAUUUAUGCUUUAAAUUGGAUUAGGUAUGAAUAAGGUUAGGCUAAAUUUCAUUCCUAAUUACAUUCCACAAUGUAGGCCAGGCACAGAUCAACAGGUGCAGCGCAAUAAUGACUAUAUUCAUGUAUGGAAAUCAGAUUAUAUUAAUGCUGUCUUGCAUAUAUAUAGAGAAAAACACAGAGAAACAAAGCAAAAGUCAGACUUCCAUCACUGUUCUGCACAAAUAAAUCAAUCAACCUUGUUCAAGAAGGAAUUGCAGAUGCUGGAGAAUCGAAGGAAGUGAAAAGCAUUGUGGAGCAAGCCCUGAAACUGUACAGCACUGACAGGGUUGGAUUGGUGGAUUAUGCACUGGAAUCUGCUGGUGGCAGUGUGAUCCACACUCGCUGCACAGAGACGUUAGAGACCAAGACUAUUCUUAGUCUGUUUGGCAUUUCACUGUGGUACCAAUCUCACUCACCCAGAGCUGUAAUUCAGAUCUUCGGUUUCCUCCCACUCUCCAAAGACGUACAGCCGGAGGUUCAUCCUGGGAACUGUUAGCCAUUUAAAGGCUCCCAAGGCUUUGUUGUCAUCAAGCUUGCUGUCCGGAUCAGGCCUACAGCCUUUAUCCUAGAGCACAUUCCAAGAUCCAUUUCUCCGCGUGGAUCAAUUAGAAGUGCCCCUCAAGACUUCUCUGUUUAUGGCUUGGAUGAUGACAAUCAAGCCGAAGGGAUCCUAUUGGGACAGUACACGUACAACGAGGAAGGGGAUUCAAUCCAGACGUUUGAGGUGCAGCCCCCUUGAAAUAUAUUGCGCUUGCCAAUGGGAGGGGAAGAGAGACGAGAGCGGGCUGUUACGUUUUUACCUCAAAUUGCAUGGGGCGAGCACAAAUUGAAGGGUUUCAAACAAGAGUAAACCCUCUGAGGUGAGGCCUGCCUGCUUGUAUCUCACAAAUACAGGCAAGGCAGCCUCUCCAAGGGAAGCACAGCCACUGAGCCAUUAUAAUCAAAGAUCCUAUAGCGAGCAAGAUAGUCCACUCCUGCUAAAUCCAAUGGGCUGACGUGUAGUAUGGAACAGAGCGGAAUGUGGGCCAUUUCUUCGGCCAUUUCAGUAACCCGACCCGACUUUGGUUAUCCCUCUCGCAGUGUAAGCAGCGUUGGGGGGGAACAGUUUGUGUGUGUGAUACAGGGUUAGAUUCAUAAUUCAUAAUUCUGUUCAUUCAUAAUUCUGUUAAUUUUUGUUAAAGAUUAAUGUUUAUAAAUUACGAUUCUGUUAAUUUUCUAUUUUAAUGUAUUUUUAAACAGUUAUUUUUAAAUGACUCAUGUGCUGUGUUUGAGUUUGUAUUACACUUGCACUCUGUAAUUCAUCUAAUCACACUGUUCACUACUCAAUUAUUUGGGAAAAUAAUAGCAAUAUAAAGAUUCCAGCUGCUCUACACCUGGAAUGUUACUUAAUGUUUUUGUGUCUAUGGAAUUGUUUCUCAACAAUAAAAUGGGUCUGGUCUUCCCAA